GGAGUGGGGUACUGUUCUCUCUUCUUCACCGCUGCCCCUCUAGCACCUAGAAUUGUGCCAGGUACCCAGUGGGUGCUUAAUAAGUGCUUGCAGCAUGAACUGGGACCCUGCUCCCCCCUCUGCUCUUCCUAGUGGUGUGUUUCAGCUCUCUGCUGGGCUUCGAGUGCUGGCUGGUGAGUGACAGCCCCUCCCGCACACGCUGUCACGAGUGCACGCAGAGGGCUUAGAGCCGGCUCUCCCUGCGGGGACUGCGGUCUGCGUGUGUCCUCUCUCCGGUGCCUCAAGGUCCUCUGUGGGUGCCAAUGUCUGGUUUUCUGCCUCUGGGUCCGGUCUUGCUUGUGUCUGGACUCACAGCUCUGGGGUCAGUAGUCUGGGUCCCGACACCAGCCCCAGCCCUUUCUAGCUUUACGGCCUUGGGCACAUUAUGUCUCUGGGCCAGUGUCCCUCUCUGUGAAAUAGGGACAGAGUUCUUACCUCAUGGCGUACUUACAAGGUCAAAUAAGGCAGCUGUGACCAUAGCCCCAGGAUGGCCAUGGAGGGAACCGGCCGGAGGCUGGAGGUCAGAAGUGAGAGCCAGCAGAGCUCCAGGUCUGCCAAAGCAAGGAAGGUCAGCGGUGGGCAGACUGCAAAGCAGAAGAGGCCAAGCCCCAGUUACCAGGAGGCCGGGCUCUGGAUGUGGUGACACCGUGGCGGAGAGGCUGGUCAUGUGCCCGAGACACAGGACCCGGAGACUUCCUGACGGCCUCCUGUUGGUCCUUAUACUGGCUGGAGGCCUCUCUGCUGGGAAGGCUCCGACUCUCCCUGUGAAGCCGCAUUUGCUAAGCCCUCGUGGGUGAUUUUUGGGGCGUCAGUAUACAGUUGCAGUCAUGUGAGCUGUAUGUCAGUGUGACUUAUGCAAGAGCGCGAGAGCUGGGAGAGUGACUUGCGUGAAAUUGUGUAAUUUUGCAGUUUUCUUCCCGAUUACGUGUCUGUGACUGAAUGCCAGUUUGCGGUGGGGGGUACUUUAUUUUGUGGGUUUGUGUGUGACUGAGUGGGAGUGUGUGUGACAAGCAGCGAUGAGUGAUCUGGCGUGUUUCUGUGCGAUGGAGUGUAAGGUGGGAGAGGGUUACCUGGUGGGUGACUUGGGGUGGCUGUUGUGACUGUCAUGUAAGGCUGGGCGUCUGUGUGGGAGGAGCUCACUAGUACUGCCUGAGGAAGGGCGUGGGAUGUGUGUGGCGGCAGGGGUGGGGUCCGAUUAUGACAAAUGUGUCUAAACCAAGUGGUCACACUUUGGUGAGUCUGUGGCUAAGGUGUCACUGUCCCCCUGGUGAGGCACCCUGUGAAGGACGGCGCGUGGGGCCUGUUCUUUCUCUGAGGCCACACUGGGUUACUGAAGGCUCGUUUUGUGCCAAGGUGCGGCUGGGGUGGGUGAGGAAGGGGUGCCCCCCUGCCCACGUGACACAGCUGACUGCCCUCGCGUCCGUGCUCUGCACCCCGGUUUCCGCCACACCCUGUGGUCAGGCGCACUACCAGCACUCUCCGUAUUACACACAGUGCGCUCUCAUACUCUUUCAAAUCCAUUCUAUUUCAGGUUUAAAACUUCUUGUCACAACUCACUGAAGCAGAGGUCUCACCUGGGGGUGACACGAGGCAGUAUCUGAAGCCAUUCCUGGCUGUCACGGUCAGGAGGGUGCUGCUGACACCUGGCGGAGAGGGGCCAGGGAUCCUGCUCAACGGCCCACCACGUCCAGGCUGGGAUGCCGGAUCUGACAACAGGACAUCUUCCAAGCACAACGUCUCUGAAAGCUAGGCCCCAAAAGGCUCUUGAGACAUGGAAUUCAUAAAGGCCGGCAGAAUGGACAGCCUCCCCGAGAGAGCAAUCCCAGCGCGAGCUGUGCGCAGCGGCAGAGGGGAGGCUUGGGCCAUCCCAAGUGUGGGAGAGCCUUCAGCUCCGGCUCCUUCCUCGCUCAGCACCGGCGAAUCCACUCGGGAGGGACCCUGUGAAUGCAGUGAGUGUGCGAGGACCGUCAGCCAGAGGGCGAACCUUACUCAGCACCAGAGAGAAACCAGAGUGUGAGGACUGUGCCAGAGCUUUUGGGCAGGGCCCCUCCCUCCGGGAGCAAGGCCACGUCCCCACAGUGAAUGGGAACCUUCAGCAAAUGCUCAGCCCGCCUCUCCCAUCAGAACAUCCACACUGGCGAGCAGCCCCGUCAGUGUAACGAGUGUGGGAAGGCCGCCCGCAGCCGGUCUUCAGUCAGCACCAGAGCACGCGCGCUGGGGAGACCCUGUGAAGGCAGUGAGUGCGCGAGGGCCUUCCGCUGGGCCUCCCCCCUUCCUCUCCACCAGAGAACUCAUACAGGCGAGAACACCUACAAGUGCCCAACUAUAGAAAGCCCUUCCCGUACGGGUCCUCCCUCACCGAGCACCAGAAAACCCACCCAGGAGAGAAACGCUACAAGUGCGGAGACGGCGAAACGUCUUCAGCUACAGCUCCUCUCGGCCUCGGGAGGAUCCCUGUACACGUAAGGCGUGGGGGGCCACCUUCAGGCACUGCUCUUUCCUGCCCAGGCACCAGAGGACCCACUGCAUCAAGACAGCUGACUGUAAGACUGUCUGAAAGCCUUGAGUCGUGGUUCAUCUAAAAUGUACAUCAGAGGUGCCACACCAGGGGGAAGUGCUACAGAUACAGUGAUUUGGUGGCAACUUCCAAUGCUUCUUACUGAAAUGUGUGCAUGGAACCUUCAGAUUUCAUUCAGCCCUCCAGAUGCCUAAGACAUCACACUGUACAUUACUCAUGGGGAUAUGGGUUGGGGGUCCGCAAACCACCCCCAGGUUCAGUGACCCACUGGAAGGACUCUGAGUACGCAGCAUAGUCACACCCAUGGCUAAGACUUACCACGGUGAAAGGAUUCACUACACAACCAGCAAUGGGAGAAGGUGCACGAUGGAGUCUGGAGGAGACGAGGUGUGAGCUUCCAGAGUUCUCUCCACAGGAAGUUGCUCCGGACACGCUUAAUUCCUCCAGCGAGAUGUGGCAGCACUUCCCUGCCUCCUCCUUCAACCUGUGGAGCUCUUUCCUGACCUCAGGGCCUUUGCUUGUGCUGCACCCGCUGUCCAGAACAGCUCCUCCCCGUGUUCCAGGGCUGACUUCUCACCCUGUGGUCUUGACUCGAAGGCCACCUCCUCAGAGAGCCCUGUUUGGACUCCCCAGUCUAAGCUCAGCCCUCCCAGGAUCACUGCCUGUGCCGCGCACCUGGUUUUCUUUCCCUCUGUAGUAUGUACCACCUUGUUUUGUCUUUUUAUUACACACUGAAGUUUGAGAAGUACUAGUGUCAGGAAAGAGUCGAUUCAGAUGGAGGCCUUCAGGUCAAGCAUACCUCUCCAGCUCAGCCUCAGGCCCCACUCACCUUUGGACAAAGGGCCUGGUCCCUGCAGGCACUCCGGUUUUCAACCCUUGCCUUAAGCUAGUGUUUCUGAAACUUUAGCUUUCAACACAGCCCCCGGAGGGCUUGUUAAAACCCCCAGUGAUCAGGAGGUCUGAGAGCGCCUUUCUAGCACUUUCCCUUGUGUAUGAGUUUCUUAUGACUGCUCUGACAAAUUACCACAAACUGGGAGCCUUAAAACAACAGAAAUGUCUCUCACUGUUUGAGGCCAGAAAUCUGAAAUCAAGGCGUCAGCGGGGGUGCACUCCAGCUGCAGGCUUUAGGGGAGGAGGGCUCCUUCUUGGCCUCUCCAGCUCCUGGCGGCUGCUGGCGUUGCUUGCCUGGUGGACGAGUCAUCAGUCUUCAAAUCCUGUGUGUCAGACUGCCCUCUGCCUCCCUCUUGGAAGGACACAUCUUUUGGCAUUUAGGGCCCAUCCAGACAGUCCAGGAUAACCUCUCUACCUUGAGAUCCUUAGUCACGUCUGAGAAGACCCUUUUCCAAAUAAGGUAACAUCUAGUUUCCAGCAGUAGGACCUGAACCCUUAGGGGGCCACCCUUGGCCUACUAUACCAUCUAAUGGGGAGCUGCUCUGGUCCCAGUGA